CUCUAUCCUGGUCCGGACGCUUGGAGGACCUUGGGGUUUCUUGGGGAACCUCGGACUCGUUAGCAGACCUUCAUGUGGCCGGCCUUUGCCUCCUGAGGUGCUUAUGGCUAGGAAAUGAAGGACGGUGACUCAUUUUACAGAGCAUCCUAUAGCUCUUUGGGGAACCUGAUGAGAAGUUUCAGAACCACCCAGGCUGCUAGAGGCUCCCCGGAUUCUGUGGCUUAUUGUCUCCUGCUUCACCUCUGAACUGUAUUUCUGUUUUCAUCACAUUUCCUCUCCAGUGCCCCUCUCUGCCACCAUUAUGAACCCUUGUGAGCGCAUUGGGCCUACCUGGAUAUUUCAGGCACCUCUGCUAUUAGGGUCAGCUGAUUAGCACUGUGUUUUGUGUUUGGUUUCUUGUUUUGUUCUGAGGGAGGAUCUCACUAUGUAGUUAAGGCUGUUGGCCUUGAAGUCACUAUGUAGCUCAGGCUGGCCUUGAACUCAUGGCGAUUCUCCUGCCUCAGCCUUCCAAGUGCUGGGAUUACAGGCAUGUGCCACCACACCUGCAAAGCACUGUUAUUUGCAGCCUCGGUUCCCCUUUCCAUGCUGCAGAAAUAUUCACAGUUGCAGGGAUUAGAGAGUGAACACUGUGAUGGGAGGUGUCAUUCUGCCUACACACAUGGACGGGAGCUAGGGAUGCUACAAAACAUUCUGAAGUGCCAGGAAAGACCCUGUGAUAGUUAAUCAUGGACUCAACUUGAAUAAGAAAUGUCUUGCAGAUUAGUUUAAUACAGUUCUGGAUGAUUGACUUACUGAAGGGGG
rnacentral:lncRNA from 1 species